CUUCCUGGCUGAGGAGUGGUUCCAGCGGAGCAGGCUCUUCCACCUCCUUCAGCUCCCCCAGUGACACCGGAUCUAGGAAAGGUUGUGCCUUUUGCUGAAAGUCUGGGGUUGACGGGAGCUCAUCUAACAGGCUGGAGACCCAGAACGAGUGGCAUCCCAGGAGCCUGUGAGGGGCUGGCAGAGACUUACUGGUUCCAGUAAAAGCCCCAUGUGGAUGCAGUAAUGCUGCCUGCUGGUCCUUGGCUGUAAUUACAAACAGAUGGCACCAAAAGCGAAGGAAGCUCCUGCUCCUCCUAAAGCCAAAGCCAAAGCGAAGGCUUUAAAGGCCAAUAAGGCAGUGUUGAAAGGUGUCCACAGCCACAUGCAAAAAGAAGAUCCACAUGUCACCCACCUUCAGGUGGCCCAAGACACUGUGACUCCAGAGGCAGCCCAGAUAUCCUCGGAAGAACACCCCCAGGAGAAACAAGCUUGACCACUAUGCUAUCAUCAAGUUUCCGCUGACCACUGAGUCGGCCGUGAAGAAGACAGAAGAAAACUACACACUUGUGUUCAUUGUGGAUGUUAAAGCCAACAAGCACCAGAUCAAACUGGCUGUGAAGAAGCUCUAUGACAGUGAUGUGGCCAAGGUCACCACCCUGAUUUGUCCUGAUAAAGAGAAAAAGGCAUAUGUUCGACUCGCUCCUGAUUAUGAUGCUUUGGAUGUUGCAACAAAAUUGGGAUCAUCUAAACUGAGUCCAGCUGGCUAACUCUAAAUAUAUGUGUAUCUUUUCACCAUAAAAAAAUGUUUUUCAUAAGAGUGACAACUUAAUUAGAAUCAAAUCUAUAAGCUUUAAGAUUUUAUGUUUCUAGUAAUUAUAAUAUUAGCUUAUUUGACUAGAACUCAAGCAGAAUGGGAAUUUAUGCUUGUUUUAUAUUCAAUAGUGAUAACUUUGAAGAUAUAGUUGUUUUAUUAUACCAAAAAUAUUAUAUUAAUCUUAUUUAACUAAGUUUUAUCCAAAUCGUGUUAACUUAAAAAACAUUUGAUCAGUUCCUAUAUUUCUAGGAGUUUGCUGAAUAUUUAUUUAUAAAUGCUUAUUUUUUUCCAAGCCAAGUUAGAAUAGAGCACUUUUAGAGGACUUUAUAAAUGAAUUUUGCAAUG
ensembl:lncRNA novel transcript